UAAUUUCUCUCUAUUUAUAUCCCAUCUUCCUUUCUUGUCUACAAACUCUACAUCCGGAGGAAGAAGAUCUAGAAAAUGGAGGAGAAGAUGAUAAAAAGAUGGAUCUCUGGGACUACUGCGCCCUCCAGCACACUGAUCAUGGCGCGUGAUCGAAUCGUGCACCACUCACAGUUGAAGCUGCCAGCAUGAUCUGAGCUUUCUUCAGCUGAUGAUCCCUAUCUAUCCUGGAAAGAAUAGAUCAUGUGGCAGUUUCACCUGUUGAUGGAAAGCAUGAGGAAACCCUAAUCUCUAGAAACCCUAAUUCCAUGUUCUGAUUCAUGAAUUACAAGCAACCACAAGGGUUUGUUUGUUUCGCUUAGAAAACCCAAGACUCGGUUUCUUUUCUUGGUAUUUUAUAAUGAUAUUACGAAGUUUGGGUUAAUCUUUUGUUUGGGAGAUCUCAUGGCUGUCAUAGAUCGAAUAUGUGAGGAUCUUGAUGACGAGGAACAUCUUUUCCGUUUCUAACUACACAUCUUUGUUCCAAUUUAUGAUGUUAUAAGCAUUCCAGCUUGCUGCUUAUGUUUCUGAUCCAUUAGAUCAGUAAGUAUUUCCAUCAUCAAGAAUUCAGAUCAAAACCUCACUCGCACAUACAUAUACAUAUAUACAUAUAUAUAUAUAUAUAUAUAGAUAUAUGAAUGUGUUCUUUCAGUUUUUUGAUUCUCUUGCCAGAUGAUUGAGUUUGACCCCACAGGAAAGGGGAAGGAAAUUCAAACCAGUAUCUGUUUCCGAGGUGGAUAAUGAUUUUGUCCUCCUCUGUUAACCCUUGGGGGCCAAAUCAUGUAUUUUCUCUCUCUCAACCAUCACUGACAUGCAUGAAAUCUGUGUGAUAUAUAUAUAUAUAUAUAUAUAGUCUGUCAA